rnacentral:rRNA from 1 species
AGUGAACGCUGGCGGUAGGCCUAACACAUGCAAGUCGAACGGCAGCACAGUAAGAGCUUGCUCUUACGGGUGGCGAGUGGCGGACGGGUGAGGAAUACAUCGGAAUCUACUUUUUCGUGGGGGUUAACGUAGGGAAACUUACGCUAAUACCGCAUACGACCUACGGGUGAAAGCAGGGGAUCUUCGGACCUUGCGCGAUUGAACGAGCCGAUGUCGGAUUAGCUAGUUGGCGGGGUAAAGGCCCACCAAGGCGACGAUCCGUAGCUGGUCUGAGAGGAUGAUCAGCCACACAGGGGCUGAGACACGUUGCCGACUCCUACGGGAGGCAGCAGUGGGAAAUAUUGGGCAAUGGGCGGAAGCCUGAUCCACCCAUACCGCGUGGGUGAAGAAGGCCUUCGGGUUGUAAAGCCCUUUUGUUGGGAAAGAAAAGCAGCAGGUUAAUACCCCGCUGUUCUGACGGUACCCAAAGAAUAAGCACCGGCUAACUUCGU